rnacentral:rRNA from 1 species
GGGUUGUGAGGUUAAGCGACUAAGCGUACACGGUGGAUGCCCUGGCAGUCAGAGGCGAUGAAGGACGUGCUAAUCUGCGAAAAGCGUCGGUAAGGUGAUAUGAACCGUUAUAGCCGGCGAUGUCCGAAUGGGGAAACCCAGUGCAAUUCGUUGCACUAUCGUUAACUGAAUACAUAGGUUAACGAGGCGAACCGGGGGAACUGAAACAUCUAAGUACCCGAGGAAAGAAAUCAACCGAGAUUCCCCCAGUAGCGGCGAGCGAACGGGGAGCAGCCCAGAGUCUGAAUCAGCUUGUGUGUUAGUGGAACGGUCUGGAAAGUCCGACGGUACAGGGUGAUAGUCCCGUACACCAAAAUGCACAGGCUGUGAACUCGAAGAGUAGGGCGGGACACGUGGUAUCCUGUCUGAAUAUGGGGGGACCAUCCUCCAAGGCUAAAUACUCCUGACUGACCGAUAGUGAACCAGUACCGUGAGGGAAAGGCGAAAAGAACCCCGGCGAGGGGAGUGAAAAAGAACCUGAAACCGUGUACGUACAAGCAGUGGGAGCACCUUCGGGUGUGACUGCGUACCUUUUGUAUAAUGGGUCAGCGACUUAUAUUCUGUAGCAAGGUUAACCGUAUAGGGGAGCCGCAGGGAAACCGAGUCUUAACUGGGCGUUAAGUUGCAGGGUAUAGACCCGAAACCCGGUGAUCUAGCCAUGGGCAGGUUGAAGGUUGGGUAACACUAACUGGAGGACCGAACCGACUAAUGUUGAAAAAUUAGCGGAUGACUUGUGGCUGGGGGUGAAAGGCCAAUCAAACCGGGAGAUAGCUGGUUCUCCCCGAAAGCUAUUUAGGUAGCGCCUCGUGAACUCAUCUUCGGGGUAGAGCACUGUUUCGGCUAGGGGGUCAUCCCGACUUACCAACCCGAUGCAAACUACGAAUACCGAAGAAUGUUAUCACGGGAGACACACGGCGGGUGCUAACGUCCGUCGUGAAGAGGGAAACAACCCAGACCGCCAGCUAAGGUCCCAAAGUCAUGGUUAAGUGGGAAACGAUGUGGGAAGGCACAGACAGCCAGGAUGUUGGCUUAGAAGCAGCCAUCAUUUAAAGAAAGCGUAAUAGCUCACUGGUCGAGUCGGCCUGCGCGGAAGAUGUAACGGGGCUAAACCAUGCACCGAAGCUGCGGCAGCGACACUAUGUGUUGUUGGGUAGGGGAGCGUUCUGUAAGCCUGCGAAGGUGACCUGUGAGGGUUGCUGGAGGUAUCAGAAGUGCGAAUGCUGACAUAAGUAACGAUAAAGCGGGUGAAAAGCCCGCUCGCCGGAAGACCAAGGGUUCCUGUCCAACGUUAAUCGGGGCAGGGUGAGUCGACCCCUAAGGCGAGGCCGAAAGGCGUAGUCGAUGGGAAACAGGUUAAUAUUCCUGUACUUGGUGUUACUGCGAAGGGGGACGGAGAAGGCUAUGUUAGCCGGGCGACGGUUGUCCCGGUUUAAGCAUGUAGGCUGGUUGUCCAGGCAAAUCCGGAUAAUCAAGGCUGAGGUGUGAUGACGAGGCACUACGGUGCUGAAGUAACAAAUGCCCUGCUUCCAGGAAAAGCCUCUAAGCAUCAGGUAACAUCAAAUCGUACCCCAAACCGACACAGGUGGUCAGGUAGAGAAUACCAAGGCGCUUGAGAGAACUCGGGUGAAGGAACUAGGCAAAAUGGUGCCGUAACUUCGGGAGAAGGCACGCUGGUGUGUAGGUGAAGUCCCUGCGGAUGGAGCUGAGACCAGUCGAAGAUACCAGCUGGCUGCAACUGUUUAUUAAAAACACAGCACUGUGCAAACACGAAAGUGGACGUAUACGGUGUGACGCCUGCCCGGUGCCGGAAGGUUAAUUGAUGGGGUUAUCCGUAAGGAGAAGCUCUUGAUCGAAGCCCCGGUAAACGGCGGCCGUAACUAUAACGGUCCUAAGGUAGCGAAAUUCCUUGUCGGGUAAGUUCCGACCUGCACGAAUGGCGUAAUGAUGGCCAGGCUGUCUCCACCCGAGACUCAGUGAAAUUGAACUCGCUGUGAAGAUGCAGUGUACCCGCGGCAAGACGGAAAGACCCCGUGAACCUUUACUAUAGCUUGACACUGAACAUUGAGCCUUGAUGUGUAGGAUAGGUGGGAGGCUUUGAAGCGUGGACGCCAGUCUGCGUGGAGCCAACCUUGAAAUACCACCCUUUAAUGUUUGAUGUUCUAACGUUGGCCCCUUACCGGGGUUGCGGACAGUGUCUGGUGGGUAGUUUGACUGGGGCGGUCUCCUCCCAAAGCGUAACGGAGGAGCACGAAGGUUAGCUAAUCCUGGUCGGACAUCAGGAGGUUAGUGCAAUGGCAUAAGCUAGCUUGACUGCGAGCGUGACGGCGCGAGCAGGUGCGAAAGCAGGUCAUAGUGAUCCGGUGGUUCUGAAUGGAAGGGCCAUCGCUCAACGGAUAAAAGGUACUCCGGGGAUAACAGGCUGAUACCGCCCAAGAGUUCAUAUCGACGGCGGUGUUUGGCACCUCGAUGUCGGCUCAUCACAUCCUGGGGCUGAAGUAGGUCCCAAGGGUAUGGCUGUUCGCCAUUUAAAGUGGUACGCGAGCUGGGUUUAGAACGUCGUGAGACAGUUCGGUCCCUAUCUGCCGUGGGCGCUGGAGAAUUGAGGGGGGCUGCUCCUAGUACGAGAGGACCGGAGUGGACGCAUCACUGGUGUUCGGGUUGUCAUGCCAAUGGCACUGCCCGGUAGCUAAAUGCGGAAGAGAUAAGUGCUGAAAGCAUCUAAGCACGAAACUUGCCCCGAGAUGAGUUCUCCCUGAGACUUUAAGUCUCCUGAAGGAACGUUAAAGACGAUGACGUUGAUAGGCCGGGUGUGUAAGCGCAGCGAUGCGUUGAGCUAACCGGUACUAAUGAACCGUGAGGCUUAACCUUACAACGCCGAAG